rnacentral:tRNA from 1 species
GCCAUCCUAGCUCAGCUGGUAGAGCAAUUGUAUCGUAAACAAUAGGUCAUGAGUUCGAAUCUCGUGGAUGGCUCAA